rnacentral:tRNA from 5 species
GCCGGCGUAGCUCAGUUGGUAGAGCAGCGCAUUCGUAAUGCGCGGGCCGAGGGUUCGAAUCCUUUCGCCGGCACCA